rnacentral:rRNA from 1 species
GUGCCAGCAGCCGCGGUAAUACAGAGGGUGCGAGCGUUAAUCGGAAUUACUGGGCGUAAAGCGCGCGUAGGCGGCUUUGCAAGUCGAGUGUGAAAUCCCCAGGCUCAACCUGGGAACUGCUCUCGAGACUGCAUAGCUAGAGUAUGGGAGAGGGAAGUGGAAUUUCAGGUGUAGCGGUGAAAUGCGUAGAUAUCUGAAGGAACAUCAGUGGCGAAAGCGACUUCCUGGACCAAUACUGACGCUCAUGUGCGAAAGCGUGGGGAGCAAACAGGAUUAGAAACCCCGGUAGUCC